rnacentral:rRNA from 1 species
CCUACGUGAGGCAGCAGUGGGGAAUAUUGCACAAUGGGGGGAACCCUGAUGCAGCGACGCCGCGUGGGUGAAGGAGUAUUUCGGUAUGUAAAGCCCUAUCAGCAGGGAAGAACAAUGACGGUACCUGACUAAGAAGCACCGGCUAAAUACGUGCCAGCAGCCGCGGUAAUACGUAUGGUGCAAGCGUUAUCCGGAUUUACUGGGUGUAAAGGGAGCGCAGGCGGCGCGUUAAGCCUGGGGUGAAAGUCCGCGGCCCAACCGCGGGACUGCAUUGGGGCCUGGCUCGCUGGAGUGCCGGAGGGGGAGGAGGAAUGCCAAGUGUAGCGGUGAAAUGCGUAGAUAUGAGGAGGAACACCAGUGGCGAAGGCGGCCUACUGGAAGGAGACUGACGCUGAGGCUCGAAAGCGUGGGGAGCAAACAGGAUUAGAUACCCCUGUAGUC